ACUCUGCUUGGACACUGUUUUUUCCCUUUCAAGUUGUUGCUAUGAAACACCAAAACAACUACCUCCAUUUUUCAACGGCGAGGGAAAAGUGCUCUCAUACAGCUUGAUAAACCAUGCUGAGUUCCUUUCAUGAAGAAAGCAAUUCAAUGAUGCCAGAGGCCAAGAGGAUCAUUCCUGCCUCCUGCUGACGUUAGCUCCUCAAGACUCAUUGACAAGAUGUCUCCCUCCAGGACAUUUAGGCUGCUGAUGCUGAAGGCAAACAUAAUUUCUCCCCCAUUAUUUCUAGCUUGAUCAGCCUAGGAUUAGAAAAAAAAAAAUCCAAACCAAAAACCAAACCCUAAAAAUGAUAAUAUAAAAAUAACAACAAAAAUUUGGCACAGUUCCCGGUCUUUGUUGCUCAGCCCCUGAUGUCUGGAUGGCUCUGCAGGACCUGGAGGGGUAUGAGUCCCUGUGUAUGAGGAGUACUCAGGGUUUGCCUGGGGCAGGGUAGAGAUAAGCGACAACAAGAAAUCAGUUUUGGAGAAACUUUUUCACCCUAAAUUGCAUAAUUAUGGCAUCUUAAAAUGACAACAAAUGCCUGUCUGUGUAGCUCCGGCCUUUGAUUUUUCCAUUGUUCUGCUGUUUUAAGAGGCCAGAAGAUUAAAGGGGACCCCUGUAUGUCCCACAGUGCCACCACAGAGUGGCCUUGGAUGACUUGGCCCCUGGAAGUUGCCACUCAUGGCUGAGAUCCCCAACUUAUAAAGUCAGAAGUGGUUUCCAAUAAAAGGAAAAAGCCUUCAUCUUGGCCAGGUGAAGGCUGAAUGCAAACAGCGAUGUCUCAGGAUGGUAAACUGAUCCCAGUGUUGCCCUGCAGCCUCUCUGGCUGCUCCUGCCCUGGAUCUAUGGGUGGUCCUGUAUUCACAGGACCACAGCAUGCCCUGAAUUCCUGUCUCAUUGCAUCCUGCUGCCCAUGGCAGGGCUCCUCCCCAACAGAGACAGCUAAUGUUUCUUUAUGCCCCUUGUUUUACAUUCCUAAAUUAAUUGCUAUCUUCCAAGUAACACUAAUGGGUGUUAUCCUGUCUUCCUCCUCUUUCCCCCAUCAUGGUGCUGCAAAACUUCAGCUGUACAUGUUUUUUGGUGACAGGUGUGGAUGGUUAGCUGCUAUUUUGUUCAAAUGCAUUUGCCACGGAAUUGCCUCUUUGUCCAUCUUCUCCUCCUGUUUUAGGGCUGUAAAUACUAAUGGUUUCAAGUAGACCUGGGAUAUGGGAGAGCAACCAUUGCUUGCAGUGCAUUACCAGACACCAAAGAUGCCAAAACACUGAGCAAUGUAAGUGGCCUUCACACCACUUUUGUGCUUGUGAGCUGCCGAAAAUACAUCCUGGCAACUCGGGGCAGAGCCGGGCCCUAUCCCAUCCCAGCCUGCGAGGGGAUAAUUCAGGAACCAGCAGCCCGAGGGCACCAUCUAGUGAACAGCCCGGACGGCACAAACCUGAAAUGGGCAGAAAUGGAGUGAAAAUCGGGAUGGGGGGGUUUCCAGUCAGGACUGAGGAGUCACGUUUUGUGCCUUCCCUCUACUCCAGUUAAUUUCUAAUUUUCUCCAUCAGGUCCCCCCAUAGAAGAGCCUUUGCCCGACUCCACCCAUUGUGGCAGGGACAUUGGCCUGGAGCAUACCACACUUGCUGCUCUGCCUUAUGUUUUCUUGUUUGUGAAAAAAGUGAAUAAUAAAGGGUUAUUUCUAAUUCUUUGUGAGGGGCCCCAGGUGUGCAGGAGCGGAGUGAUGGAGGCAGCUCUGUCGUGGGGCAGGUCUGAGCUGGAAGCACAGGCUGUGCUUUCAGCUGAGAUGAAGCCUCCUUUUGAAUGGAAAAUUAAAAGGAACACCACAGAUGCUCUAACAUCUCCCCAUCACCCCCAAGGUGAGCUGAUAGGGGGAAAGCAGGCUGAAAGACCACAGGUUUGGUGCAGAGCUUAAAGCUCCCUGAGCUGAUGCAGCAACUGGGGAUGAAGGAAACACCACACCAAACUACUGCUGCUUCCAGUGCUGGUGUGCUGGGCUGGGUCCUCUCCCCAUGUUGCCAUACUGGGAAUUGAACACCUUGCCAGGAGAAGGCUGUCCUGAAGCACUCCUGAUCUAAAAGAUGCCACCUUCAGGAGUUCAUGGCCCCCAUGACCUAUUGACACCCAGCCCCCAGCCCCCCCCCCGGUUUAUCCCUGGGAGCUUCUUUGUGUUUUGCCUACAGCAAACCCUACCCACGCACCCAAAGCAUCCAUGGAGCAGGGACUGAGAGGUACAGGGGUACUUGGGUCAGGCUGCCCCACCUGUCCAGCUCACCCUUUGCAGCCCCCUUUGUGGCCAGCUCCCUAAGGAGGAUGGAGCUGCCGGGAAUUGUGCCUUUUCCUCUCAUAUGCACACAGUCACGAUGGUUAGUUAAGUGGCUUGUUUUUCAUUAGGAAAAGACUGUUGCUAGGCCACCCCGUUCCCCGGCGUUGGUCGGGAAGGAGUUUUGCAGCCAAUCCGGGAGGCUGUGCUGGGGUUUGCACACGCACACAUCACGCACACCCCUCCUGCAGCCCAGGUGCUAAGCGGCUGCCAGAUGUGCCUAUUCAUUUCCACAUCACACCUAUCUGCUUCUUCCGGCCAAGCAGCUUAUUAAAACUCCUAGGAUUUUAAUUUAUAGUUGUCUGAGAGUUUUCUCCCUUCUAAUUUACGCUCAGAGGGUAGAGAGGGGUGAUGGUGGGUGGGGGUAGUGAUGGGGCGAGGAUACAAGGGGGCCGGGUCCUCCCUCUGCUCUGGUCUCUAGUGAAUGCCCGAGUGAAGCCUCGUGUUUCUGACUGCAAAAAGGGUGAAUUGUCCCUCUGUGUCCCCACAGUGGGGGGACAGAUAGUCUCAGGCUGGGGGCUUGCUCCAGGCUGUUAUUAGGUACUGCUCCACCCCAAGACACUCAUGUUGUGAUUUUUAGGGAUAUCCUGUGUAACCAGGUGUUAGUGGGUUCCCUCCAACUCGGGAUAUUCUAUGGUGCUGUGAUUUGGAGUUUACGUGACAUUUCAACCACAUGUACCAUGAUAAGCAGAGCCAGCAGCAAAGCUUACCAGGUGUUUGAUCAGGGGAUGCUGCUCCCAGCUGCGGUCCCCAUACAAACAGCCCCCAGCAGAUGGGAGAGGUGCUGGACCAUGGUCAGGCAUUGGUGAUGCCUGACCUCUGAUCAGACAGAUCCCCAGUACAGCUGCUGUUCUGCUAUGGUGCUAUUCCAAGUACCCUAUGGGUGUCCAACAUCCACCCGACAGAGCUGUGGUGCAUGGACAAGACAGGGUGUGAGCAGAGCCCAGGAUAUGAGCAGGAUGGAGCCUCUUACAGCUGCAAAGCUUUCACCACGCAGGACAGGAAUAGACACCAAAACAUGCAGAAAAAUGUGGGCAAUCCACAUGAAACUCAGUUUCUGACUGUCCCCCAUGAAAACCCCCAUGUAGUAGGAGGGAAGCUCAAUGAAAGCAACAGAAAGAAUUGGAUUGUGUCUGCUGCUCAAGGAGAAGCUGUUGCUAGACAGAAGCAAAAGCCGUCGCCAUCAGCUCCCAUUGGCUCAGUCCCACUCCAAUGACGGGCUUAUCGGUUACCUGCACUCGCAGCUGGCUGGAAAAAAACUCAUUUGACAAUGUUUUCCCUCUGAUAAAAAAGCCCCGUGCUGGAUUCGUGGGUUUGGGUUAAUCAUUGUUCAGAGUUGUUGAGAUAAUGGCUGAGUUUUCUGCAGAUUCUUCAAUUACCGCAAAAUUAAGCAUAAAUUGUGAGACAGCCCAGCUCUCCUUCAUCCGCCUAAAGAUGCUCAGCCUCCCGACAUGAGCACCAGUGGGCCGCUUGUGGGAUGAGCCAGAGUGUGUGAUGAGCCCAAGCGUGUUCAGCCAUGGCAACUCCGAGUUGGCAUGUUGGUGAAUAUUCACAAACACCUGUGAAAAUCCUGAUUAGCUCUCAGAGGGUGAAAAUGGGCCCAAUGUCACCAUUUAGAUUAUUCAGAGCAAACAUCGUUGUCAGGGAGCAGAUUGCCACCACCCCUAAUCAUCCAUGUGGGGUUUGCUCAGCAGCAGUUUUUGGGGGGGCUGGGGGGCUGCAGCACAGUGUUGGGGUUUUCCAAGCCCCUCACACCUGAUGCAAAUAGGGAUUAACACCCAAAUUUGUUUCUCACCCUCCCUGAGUACCGGAGAUUGUGGCAAAGCUUGCAGGGUGUGUCAGCACCAAAGAGCAGCUGGCCUUUGCCUGCUUUGCUGCCCCCAAAUUUGCUCCCAAAGCAGGGAGGGAAUUCCAGUAGGAGAGUUAAAUAAAUGAGGCGUCAGUGGGGACAAGCUCUCAGUGCUUUGUGCUACUGUGCAACCCCAGGGCUGUGCUGUGCAGGGGGCUGGGGAGGCAACAAGUUCCUCCACUCAGGUGGAUAAACAAGUUUGGAGCUGUGGGGUGCCCCAUGAACUCGAGUGCCCCCCAAGGGGAUGCAGUUACAUGGGCCAGGUUAUAUGGCCAUAAGCAAAGCAUCCCUCUGCUGUGUCUUUCCUCUGGGUCUGCUUUUCCAGGAGCAGAAGACAGUGCUGCUGCAUUGCCUUUAGAAUGCCCCCAUCAUCUGAUCAAUACGUGCAGGCCCACUGAGCUUUCACCUUUCCUACACACUCACUUCCCUCCUGCCCCACUGGGAGAGGAGGAAACAGAAAAACCUGCCCCAGCUGUGCUCCUCCUGCACCCCUCUUUGUGCCCCGUGGGGUUCAGUCCCUGCCAUACCUUGCCAGGUCCUGCUGACAUUGCGUGGCAUUCUGCUGGGGCUCAGCUGAGCUGCACCCCAAGGCUGGCACAGGGGGUGGUGCUGGCCCUGUUUUACAGCUUGCUGCACCAGGAACACACCUGGGAGAAAAUGAAACAAGCAGAAUUCAAAGUCCUACUGUGAGGCUGUGUUUCCUACCAGGUCUAGUGGAGAGUGCCCAGACCAUGAGCUCACAGCAGAGCCCAGGUUACUCUAUCUGUUGAAGGAUGGUUGUGUUUGGGCCAUUGUGAGGACCAAGAUUUUUUUUUGAUGUGUCAGACACGUUUCAAAGCAUUUCUGAGCUGUUCCUGGCUUCCUCUACCAGGCAAGGAGGAGUUAAGAAGGGAAGUGCAAGAUGUGCCUGGUAAUGGCACUGAUGUGUGCGUCAGGUGUGCCUGCGUCACCCGGCUGCCUUGGCCACUUCCCAAGGCUGGGGCUGAGCUCUCCUUACCUCCCACAGCUUGCUGGGAAAAGCCUGGGAUUGUCUAGCCUGGCCGAGGGAGUUGUGAGCUCCAUUCCAGUGCUGGCUGCUGUAUCCCAGUGUGCUGCACCAGGUUCCCCAAAGUCCCCAGGGUGCUGGCAGCUCUCCAGCUCCCUCUGCCACCUCCUGUCUCGCAGCCCAGGCAGUGGGACUGGGCUAAAGGGUUGUUAAGGGCUGACCUUGAGGCACAUGGCAAAAAACUAUUAAUUUUCUAUAACCAUGGCUGUUCAGUUCCCUGGGGAAGCACACAAUUCCAUGUCCAGCCCCAAAACCCUCUCUGGUGCUCCCACACCCAGCUGGGACACAUCUCUGCAGCCACAUAUAUGUCACCUACAGGCAGAGUCACUGCAGGUGAGCAUCACCCUGUCCCCACACCAUCACAGCAGCCCAUGCCACAGCUCACCCAUGCCUGCACAGCUCUCACUCAUAGAUGCUGGGGGAAGGAACACUGACCUGUGAGGUGAGCAAAUUGCAACAGUGCCUCUCCUUAACACAGGGAGCUCCCUGAGCUGGGACAGCCCUGCUGCUGGACAGUGACGGAGCAGGAUGCCCUCUUGCACUGAGCUUUCUCCAAGCAGAUGAAGUGCUGGAUUGCAGGGCUCCAGCUGAGCCCAUUCCCUGCUCCUCCAAAGACGACAAGCCUGUACCCCAAGGAACUACUUACUCCAUCCACUGUCAGGCCAUUCGAAGCACCUUUUCCAGUUGCAGGUGGGUUUUAAGCCCUGGAGCAUGACAUGGUACUCAGGCCAAUCUCACCCCACCCUCUUGCACCUGUAGAACUGCCAGAUCAAAUCAUGCAGAAUGUACACAAGGGUUUAGCAAAAACAGUUUUUAAUUCAGAACUGGACAAUUAUGUCAAUAAUUUAUUUAAAAUUAAGUGCAUUCUAUGCUCUUGUCCACACUGGACAUUGAUCAGAUCCAGACUUUUUUCUCAGGCUUCAUUGUGCAGCUGGAUCCCUACAAAUCUAUGGGGUGUGGUGGGAUUCAUCCAAGAAUCCUUCAAGAGCUAACUGAUGUCAUCACAAAGCCUCUCCCAAUGAUUUUUGAGCAGUCUUGGGAAUCUGGAGAGGUCCAAGCUGACUGGAAGCCAGCGAAUGUUGUCUCAGUUUUCAAGAAGGGCAAGAAGGUGGACCCUGGAAGCUACAGGCCUGUCAGUCUCACUUCAGUGCCCAGUAAAAUCACAAAGAUUAUUCUGGGAGGUAUUGAAAAACACCUGGAGGACAACACAGUCAUCAAUCACAGCCAGCAUGGCUUCAUGAGAGGAAAGUCCUGCUCAUCAAACCUGAUUUCCUUCUACAACAGGGUAACCCACCUGAUUGAUCAAUGUAUGCCGGUAGAUGUUAUCUUUUUUGAAUUCAGCAAUGUUUUUGGGACAGUCUCUCACAGUUCCCAGAAGGGAGCAACAGCCACCAAAACAACCCACUGCACAGCUUCAGAGGCUUCCUAUCCUGUGGUUGUGUCUCUGCCUCAGAGCAGUUCAGCAUGGGCCACCAAAAACCCCAAUUUGUGUUUGGCAAAUAACAUACUGUUUUGGUUUUUUUUUUUAAUUUCUCUUUUUCCCCUCACCUCUGCCUGGGCAGCCUUGAAGGGAAUCGCUCUCUUCAUGUGGUGCUUGGUGAUGCCACUCCAGCGUGUCCGGAAGUCCACGAUGGGGAGCUCGGGCUGAAUGUACUUGUCAUAGAUGACAUCCCCCUCGUAGUUCACCACGGAGCACCGUGCCAGCUCACUCAGCCUGCCCUGAGGGCCGGUGCCCACCAUCUCACAGUCAAUGGCCACGUACUUGCCCGGGCGCAGGACCAGUGAGGACAUUCUCACCUUCUUGGAGCUGUCGUUCCCCUGGGACAGCAGCACAGAGUGGUGCCUGGCUAUACUGUCCGGAGAGGCAGAUGGGGACAGGGAUGCAGAGAUGACCCGUUUGGGCUUGGGGACCUUGCCAGAGCGCUGUGUCGUGGUGCCAUUUGCCUUGGUGAGGGUGGCGUGUGCCUCUGGCCCCGCCACGGGGGUCUGAGUGCUCCUGUGCUCGCGGGGGCUCAGCAGCCCCUUCUGCUCCAGCAGCGCCCGGCGCUCCAGGAACCGCUGGUGCUUACGGCUCUUCUUCUUGCUGCGGCUCUGCGGCGAGCUGGGACCCUUCGGGGCCUGAGGGCAGCCCACCGCCGAGGGGUCAUGGGUGCCCUGCAGGGUGGGCGCAGAGACCGUCGGGGCGGGCAGCAGCGGGGUCAUCUGCCCUUUGCCAGGUGGCAUUCCUGCUGGAGUGUGCACAGGGGGGCAUGAGUGCCGCGCAGCCCCCGUGCUCCCCAGUCAAAAACGACGCGCAUAGCCCGUAGGAACCCCCCCUCAUCCCGCAGGCACAGACAGGAGUUAUGGGACAGGGAGGGGGGGGGCGGUGGGGAGGAGGUGCACACGGACACACUGUCACACCCUGUCCCCACCCCUUUGCCGCUUAUUGCCCGGUCCCAAACCGCCUCUUUCCCGGUCCCAUGGUCUUGCCAACUCUCUCGCCGAUCCGCAGCCCCCCUGCCCACCCCACUACCCCCCCUGCCCACCCCAUUACGUGCUCCCCAGAGCCCUGUCCGCCCAUUACCCGGGCUCUCUCUGCCUCGCUCCGGGCCCCAGUGCCCUGCCCGCCCCAUCACCCAUUCCCAGGCCCGUACCUGCCCCCCUGCCCCUGCCCCUGCUCCCCCACCCCAAGGCCCCCUGUCCCCCACUCCUGACCGGUCCCGCCGCGCUCCCCACGUGUCCCGCCCGGAAGCCGCCGCUCACACAUGCCCGGGCAAGUCCCGCCGUGGUCACGCCCCCUGUCCCCCUAUUGGCUGAAUGGCGGGUGAUUUGCAUGCGGGGGCGGGGCCCGGCAGGGCUGAGCGGUGGGCGGGGCUUCUGGGGCCCCGGUUAUAGCGCGAGGGGGGAAUUGGGAGUGUCUGAGGACAUAUCUGGGGUUUAUAUCCCAGAACCAGACGCUCAGGGCUUCAGGACUCUCACCUGGUGGGGAGGGCACCUUCGAGGUGUUGGGUUUUGGGGGUGGGAUAAAAUUUUAUGCAUAUUUUGCGUGUUUGUGCAUAAUUGGUCAACAGAGUGUUGUCAGAAUCAAAGUUGCGACAUAAAGAUAUGUGCACGAGAAACGAAAGUACUCAAAAAGUAAAUUCAUUGCUUUGCCACGAAGUUGUUGUUUUAGGAGGUCAACUAUAGCGAUUCAGCUUGCCUCUUGUGUUUUGGAGGGCUGCUUUUUAUUUUGGGGCAUACGGCUCCGUGCCCGGGAGUGCAGCCUGGCACAGAAACUGUAGUUUUCCUGUGUGUUUCCUGCGGUGCAGUGCUGGCCCUGUGGGCAUCCCUCCUUCAGACGGUGGGGUGGGCUGAGGCGCAGCAGCUCCUGCAGGGUUUGCAUCCUCCAGGCUGUGCUCCCCAGGGUGGCGGGGGGGGGAAGCAGCUCUGGGCAGGGCAUGGUUGAAGGUGGGGUUUCAGACCCGCCUCUCGUUGCUUCACUCUCAAGGCUCACAAAAGCAACGUCCGAGGUGGUCAGAAGUGGAGAAAGGCCACAGGCAGCCCCAGUCACCAGCUUGUCCCCACGCCUUUGGUGUCGCUGCAUAGGCCGUGCGCCCUAAGGCAGACUGUGACUUGUUGUGGUGGGAUGAGCCAUACAACAACAAAAUCACUAGUCUUCCAGAGGGAACCAGGCACCACGUCCAUCCUUGUCCCACUGGGCUCCGCUCUGAGCAUUCCCUCUCCCUGCCACAAAUGGGGCUCACAGGGAUGCAGGACAAGUGUUUCCAUGCUCCGUCGUUCCCCUUUUUUACCACCCAUGAGCUUCUUCAGCCUGGUCAGAAAGAAAAGAUUUAGAGCACUCUGAUUUAUUUUUUCGUAUUUCUUUUAUGUUUUUCUUUUGGCCAGUAAACCUCUUCCUUAAAUCUGUUGCUCUGUGUUUUGCAUCUCUUACUUCCGUCCCUGCUGUUCAGCUAGUUAAUCCCCCUUUAAUAAGAGUCAUUCAAGUGUCCCAUAAUACCUUGCUAGGGAGCCCUGGCAGGUCUCUAUGUAGAAAUUUAUGCUAUUUCUGGUGGUUUUGGUGAAACUGUGCAUUAACAGCCCUCGGGGAUAGUUCAUUUGGUAUUCCUGGGCCUCUUUGCCCAGUUUUUCUCCCCAUAAGUGAGUGUGAGCUGAUCAUCAUCACAUGAGUGAUGAGCCCUGAUGUGGGGGAAAUGGGCUUGCAAUGCUGGUGGCAUUUCUCCACCGGCUCUGGGUAGACAAGGAGGUGGUGUCACUGGCUGCUCUUCUCCUUCACACUCUGUUGAGAUGAAAGGUUAAAGUGCCUCGACCAUUCCUGGUUGACAGCUUCUCCCCAGACACAUUGCUGCUCCACUCAUGGGUCUGAUAGCUCUUAGCUUGUUCACAAGAAAACCCAUCCAUCUCCCUUCCUUUCCCAGGCUGUAUAUGUUGCAAGAGGCAUGUGAUUCUCUUUGGCAGUGCAAAGUUUUUGCUGUACCCUCAUGACUACAAAGAAACCUCAACAGGAGAAAUUAUGGCAUGUCAGGAGGAAGGGAAAAUCUCUUCCUGCUUUCCCAAGGUGACCAGGCUUAGGAAACAAGAUAGUGCAGAAUACAAGGGAACAGUGCUGAACAGUGCUGUCAUUUUUCUCCCCUGCCCCAGAUACAAGGAUGGAGGUGAAAAAAAGUCAGAAUAUGUUUGUAUGGGUCCAUUGGUGUGCCGUGGUCUCCUGUGAUCCCACUGACCCCGGGUCAUCAGUAGAUGGUUCUCACACAGUAGAUAGUUCUCCCCUCAGCAGAAGCCUGAUGCUGAACGGGGAUGCCACUCACCUCCACGAGGUCCUGUGGCCAUGCUGGGGAUGGAGGGUUUGGCACUAGAUGGUAAAAAUCCUGUUCCAGGUGUGGCAGAUGAGCUGAGAUGAAGGCAGAGCGUGCCAGAGCCCCAGAGAGGUUUCUGCGGUGUUUGCACAAUUUGAAAUAAUAAUGAAAUCUGUAAAACUCUGGGUAGAGCACGACUAGAAUAACAGGCUAAAUUUGUCGGAUGAAUAAUUUACUAGAAGUGAUUGGCCCCGCUCCAAGUGAGACAAGCACCAGCCUGGUCUCAGGCUGAGAAGCCUGAGUGUCUCUGUCCUCAGCUGGGAGCUGGUCCCUCUCCUGCCCACCAGUCAUUGCUCCUGCCAUAAAAGCUGGUCUCUAGCCCAGGUGCCUGUUCCCAAGUCAUCACUGCCCAGGGUUACAGGGAUUCCUGCAGAGCUCCCAGACCCCUCCAGAAGGUGUCUGCUGUUUAUUUUCAAGGCGCUGCUUUGCAGCACGGAGGUGGUGGCAGUGGGUGUCUGUCACUGGCUCCAGGCUCAUGGACUCGCCCAUCCUCUGCCUCUUUCCUUUCUCCAACUGCUUCUCUGUUCUCGGCCAUGGUGCCGAGUGGAUGGAAGAACAGACACAUCCUGACAUUUGGGAUGGGAAGGGAGAUGAAGUCCCAGUGCUGAGAGGAGACGGCGACUGCAGCCUCGGCAGCCAAUUAAUGUGAUCAUGUUUAUGAAUGCGGAUCAGUAAUUCCAGGUAAACUCCCCAAGAGCAGUGCUGCAGGCGAACAAAGCCUCCUGCCCGCCCGGGAGCCUGCCAGCGGUCCCUGCCAGCACCAGCACGUUCCUGCUGUGACUCUAAACUGCCUCAUUUCCUAGUGCCAGCCUCGACAUGCAUCAUUUUGUCUCCUAUUACCUCGAUGCCAGAGCUCAUCUUAACAGUGUUGGUUGCACCACGUCCUCCUGGACCUCUCUGUUCCCUCCCUGCCAAGGGGGAAUGGCUGGUGGGAAUGGGCAGCUCAGGCAGAGAUUAACUCAGAGAAGGCAGCAAGGACCCAGCUUUGCCUCCACAGGUGAUGAGAGACUGCUUCAUCAUCCUGGGCUUUGCAGGCUGCAUGGUGCAUCCCUAUCACCCAUCUGUGGUUGGAGUACCCCGCCAGGGUGCCCCGAGCUGCUCCCAUCACUCUGAAUAGGCUUGUGGCAGGCUGGUUUGUGUCCACCAGCAUCCAAAGGAUCAAACAGAAGCUGAGAAGCUACAGAAAUAGAUUGGGGCACUGACCGAUCCCUUGCUGGACCUGGUUUCCUUUAGGGAAAGAAAGACUCAUCAUGAAGGGAGCACCUGGAAACACCACCACCACCCUUCGAUGCAAGGGACCAUCUCUGGCAGCCGGUGCCACCUGGCUGAAGUGUCACCAGCUGGUGGCCUGAGACCACCAGCACGAGGGUGUCAGAACGGACAGGCACAGUGUCACUUCCUGGCCUUUGGCAGGAUAGCUCCAUAGCAGAGGUUCAGCAGAGGGAUCUCUGUGGGACCCCUCCAUUGCCAUGCUGAGUUCCCCAUCCUCAGUUCCCCCCCUGUGAGACCAGUUGCGCAAAACCUCCAGGGGACUGCAUCCCUCUUGGAUAAGGGUGGGGAUGGAUGGUGUGCAAGAGCACCCGCUCAGCCUUGAAGACUACUCAGUGCUGGAAAGUCCUGCUUGGAAAGGACUCCUUUUCCUUUCCCUUGGAGCACCAAGAGCCACCCUAUUUCUCUGACACCUCCUCCAGCACUCCAUGGGACAGACCUCCUCCUCAGCCAUGUCCUGGAGGGUGCCAGUGGUCCAGGGAUGCUGCCAGGGAUAAGGAGGGAUGCUCCCUGAGCAGGAGGUGAGGGCAGAUGACGCUGCCAUACGUCUCCCACCUCGCUCCACGCUUUCUGGCUCACCCCCAGGAGAGCAGUGAGCAAUUACAGGCCACAUGGAAUCUUCAUUAUUGCCCUGUCGUGGCCUCGUUUGACGAGAUGUUUUACUGCCAAACUUAUUAAAAGUGAAACGUGCGGUUUCUGCACGGCAGUUUCCUGUCUGCAGUGAUAAGCCGGGCUCUGCCUGCUGUGUAAUAAACAGUUAUUUUUAUGUACA